UGGACGACUGGUGGUACCCAGGUCACCACACUGCUUUUGUGCAUUGUGUGCAGAAUUGGACUUUACUCCCGCCGGCUUUCGAGCACAACCUUGGGGACUUGAGCAGGAUCCUAGAGACUCCGUUGGUCCUCUAUGUCCCCUUCUUCUG
rnacentral:snRNA from 1 species